rnacentral:sRNA from 1 species
CAUAAACCUGCCAUCUAGGUUUUAAGGCUUGUCAUUGUUAUAGAACUAAUUUCAACAGCACGAGGGUUAGGAGGAACCUCAUUUUUGAGGAGGCGAAUAACAGUGGUGAUAUAUUUACUCCCGCCUCAAUCAGGCCAUGAAGCUGAGAAGUGUGAAAAACAAAAGAAAAAAAGAAAAAAGAAAAAAAAGAAAAAAAAAAUCACUGUUCCAUUUCUCCCGUAAACACAAACUUAAAGACAUCUCAAAUUCAUAGCUCGCUAUAGAUGACUUCCGGCUUAGGCCAUAAUUUUCCAGCCAGUGCAACAAUGCACA